AUGGGGAAGUGGACACAGCCAAGCGGCUGCUGGGGAAAGAUGCAGCCUGCACAAGAGGCGCCCCUGCUGACUCACGCUUAUGAAAGUGGUUUUCUGGCCCCGCCCCCGCCCGCCUCCUCCCGGCCCGUGAAAUACCCCGGCCUCUCGCCUCGCACCGGCUCCUCGGUCCCCGCGGCGGCGGCCGGCUCGGCGGAGGCUCCCGGAGCGCCCCCCGCGCCGCCAGGUGAGUGGCCGGGCAGGGCCUGCGGGGGGAGGGGGGCGCGGGGGCGGGGGAGGGGCGGAGGCGCCCCGCGGGGCCCGGCCCGACGCUCCCGCCGCGCCUGCCCGGUGCCCGCCCCCGCGGCCGCAGCCGCCCCGCCGCCCCGCCACGUGACGCGCCUCGGGCAGGAAGGGAGGCGUGGCCGCCCCGGGCCUGGGUCCCGCGGGCUGGGCGCUGCUCCGUCCCUGCCCUGCAGCCCAGCGCGGCCGCCCGGGGUGCGCGGGGUGCGCGGGGUGCUCGGGGUGUCCGGGGUGCUCGGGGUGCGCGGGGUGCUCAGGGUGUCCGGGGUGCUCGGGGUGCGCGGGGUGCUCAGGGUGUCCGGGGUGCUCGGGGUGCACGGGGUGUCCGGGGUGCGCGGGGUGCGCGGGGUGCUCGGGGUGUCCGGAGUGCUCGGGGUGCUCUGGGUGCGCGGGGUGCUCGGGGUGUCCGGGGUGCUCUGGGUGCGCGGGGUGCUCGGGGUGCGCGGGGUGCUCAGGGUGUCCGGGGUGCUCAGGGUGCGCGGGGUGUGCGGGGUGCUCCGGGUGCGCGGGGUGCCCGGGGUGCCGAGCGCCGGCUGGGCUCCGUGGAGAGGGCCCCGGAGGGGAGCUGCGGCAGGCGGCCCUCGUGGGCGGUGCCCCCCGCCCCUGCCGCGGCCUCCCUCACCUCGGCUCCUGCCCCGGGGCCUCGCCCACUGCCCCCCGCCCGCCAGCAGGUGCUGCAGGCAGGACCGGCGCUCGUGGGCUCUGUCGGGGGCAUUCCGGGGCAAGGCCCGGCCCCACCGCGGUCUGCGCCCCCAGCCGGGUUAG
rnacentral:lncRNA from 1 species